GAAGAUGAGGAUCUUCUGUUGUGAGAACAAUGAUGAGACAAAAAAUAGAACAGCUCUUCAGCAGCUCUAAUACUUGCACAGGACUUUCAUCUGUCGUAAAUUGUUUGAUAAGCCACAUCUGCUGACACAUUCAUUCCCUUUUAUACAGCUAUUGUAGGUGUGACAGCUCCAUUUUUAUCCAGCUACCUCAGCUGCAGAAGUAAGCGCUUGAUUCUUUAUUUUGUUUCACUUUAGUCUUAACGCCUAUAAUCACUUAACAUUUCUAAAACUAGGCUUGAGUAAUCUAUAAUACAUAUCUUAUAAUGUAUUACAAAUACAGUAUAAAAGUAAGCCUUUAUUUAAAAAAAAAGGUGACGUGGUGGUUUUUUUUUGCGUAUAUGCCUUUCUAUUAAGCUUAUUAGCAUCGUCAAAAAUAAAUGAUAAAGGCAUAUCACAUAACUAUGAAAUAGGAUCUGACCUGAUUGAAAACUGAAACUUCUCAGAAUUCGGAUAGAACUACAUACGGUUGGUGUGGUGCAUCGCAGCCAAUAGCCAUCCACCUUAACGGGUAAUAUUUAAAUUGAGAUGACCUCAUUGCUGAUGCUCAAGUCAGCGUCUUUUCCUCACUCGGUCGAGGAGCUGCGUUUGCUCAGGUUCUAAAUUCUGCAUUUUCAAAGAAAACAAGCAGGAGACUGAGCUUUUUUUCUCCUUUUUCUGUACUAUUUAGGGGCUUCCUUGACUCUUACGUUCUGAAAACUUGGACGUGGAUUUUGUUGGCUCAGAAACCUAAAGCCCACGAGUGAUGAGCCAUGGUUAGAACUACGAAGGCAUCCCGUGAUUUUGUCUAGAUUCAUUUAUCAGACUAGUUUCUUCACUUCCACAAUACUGAAGGUGGUGUGUAUGGUUAUCACUCUUAUUAACGUACCUAAUAGACUCCUGAGGUAGUCCAGACUCUGACAGAAUGGCUGUUCCAAGUCACGGUGCAAAUUUC
rnacentral:lncRNA from 1 species